rnacentral:rRNA from 1 species
UACGAAGGGGGCUAGCGUUGCUCGGAAUUACUGGGCGUAAAGGGCGCGUAGGCGGGUUGCUAAGUUAGAGGUGAAAGCCCAGGGCUCAACCCUGGAAUUGCCCUUUGAAUACUGGCAGCCUUGAGUAUGGGCAGAGGUGUGUGGAACUCCGGAGUGUAGGAGGUCGAAAUUCGUAGAUAUUACGGAAGAACACCAGUGGCGAAGGGCGACACACUGG